CUGAACCAGAGAGCGGUCGUCCUAGGUAAGGACAGACUGGGGAUGGCAGGUGAAUAUAUGUGAACAACCGCCCUCCUGCAGGUUUGUGAGUAUCUCAGAGGGGAAAAGAGGAUAAACUGAUUUUAAGAAACGCCAGCUGGUACACAGACACACACAACUAAAUGACGAUGCAGUUUCAAAAUGUGUCUUACUAAUCACAGUAUUUCUAAAACCAAAACCUGGUCAUAGUCUGCUUCCCACAGGAUGCUUGGCAGGCAGAGUUCAGCAAGGCCUCAUCUGGGAGAAAAUGCCUCUUUACCUAGGUGGGCCGCAUGGGCUUCCAGCAGGGUGUGGCCACGGCCUGGGCUCACCUCAUCUUUCACCAGGACAAGUCCUGGUGAUGUAUGUGCACUGUGUUGUUCAGCUCUGUGUGAUGGCUCCUGGGUAAUGGCGAUUCAAAACAGCUGACCACGUGGGAGAGGAGGGGAUUGCUAUUAAUGCCUUGCUAAGAACUUGUUUUCACAAGAAUUUUCCUUUUGC
rnacentral:lncRNA from 1 species